rnacentral:rRNA from 1 species
GAUGAACGCUGGCGGUAUGCCUAACACAUGCAAGUCGUACGAGAGUUUUUAACUCUAGUGGCGGACGGGUGAGUAACACGUGAGAAUUUGCCUUUAGGAGGGGGAUAACAAUUGGAAACGAAUGCUAAUACCCCAUAUGCUUUUGAGUGAAAUGGAUUUUAUCCGCCUAGAGAGAAGCUCGCGGCUGAUUAGCUUGUUGGUAAGGUAAGAGCUUACCAAGGCGACGAUCAGUAUCUGGUUUGAGAGGACGAUCAGACACACUGGAACUGAGACACGGUCCAGACUCCUACGGGAGGCAGCAGUGGGGAAUUUUCCGCAAUGGGCGAAAGCCUGACGGAGCAAUACCGCGUGAGGGAAGAAUGCCUAUGGGUUGUAAACCUCCUUUUUCAGGGAGGAAUAAAAAUGACGUGUACCUGAAGAAUAAGCAAUCGGCUAACUCCGUGCCAGCAGCC